CCCCCGAAGAGUCCGGCGUUGUUUGGGAAUGCAGCGCAAAAUGGGUGGUAAAUUCCAUCUAAAGCUAAAUAUUGGCGAGAGACCUGAUAGCGAACAAGUACCGUGAGGGAAAGAUGAAAAGCACUUUUGGAAAGAGAGUUAAACAGUACGUGAAAUUGUUGAAAGGGAAACGCUUGAAGUCAGUCGCGUCGGGCACGGAACUCAGCCUGGCCUCGGCCUGGUGUACUUUCCGUGAGACGGGUCAUUUUCAAUUUCGGGCGGCGGACAAAGGGCGAGGGGAAUGUAGCGUCCCUUCGGUGGCGUGUUAUAGCCCCUUGUCGUAUACCCCCGUGCGGGAUUGAGGACCGCAGCGCGCCCUUGUGGCCGGGGUUCGCCCACGUCACGCGCUUAGGAUGUUGGCAUAAUGGCUUUAAGCGACCCGUCUUGAAACACGGACCAAGGAGUCUAACAUGCUUGUGAGUGUUCGGGUGGAAAACCCUUGCGCGGAAUGAAAGUGAAAGUUGGGAGCCUUCCGCGAGGGGGGUGCACCGACGCCCCGGCCCUGGAGUACUCUGGACGUGCCUGCCGUAGAGCAAGAUGCUGUGGUAACCUGAAAG
rnacentral:rRNA from 1 species